GUGCCAGCAGCCGCGGUAAUACGAAGGGUGCAAGCGUUACUCGGAAUUACUGGGCGUAAAGCGUGCGUAGGUGGUUUGUUAAGUCUGAUGUGAAAGCCCUGGGCUCAACCUGGGAAUGGCAUUGGAAACUGGCUUACUAGAGUGCGGUAGAAGGGGUGUGGAAUUCCCGGUGUAGCAGUGAAAUGCGUAGAUAUCGGGAGGAACAUCUGUGGCGAAGGCGACACCCUGGACCAGCACUGACACUGAGGCACGAAAGGUGGGGAGCAAACAGGAUUAGAUACCCUGGUAGUCC
rnacentral:rRNA from 1 species